rnacentral:rRNA from 1 species
AAAUUGAAGAGUUUGAUCAUGGCUCAGAUUGAACGCUGGCGGCAGGCCUAACACAUGCAAGUCGAACGGUAACAGAAAGCAGCUUGCUGCUUUGCUGACGAGUGGCGGACGGGUGAGUAAUGUCUGGGAAACUGCCUGAUGGAGGGGGAUAACUACUGGAAACGGUAGCUAAUACCGCAUAACGUCGCAAGACCAAAGAGGGGGACCU